GAUGAACGCUAGCUACAGGCUUAACACAUGCAAGUCGAGGGGAAACAAUAUUGGAAGCUUGCUUCCGAUAGGCGUCGACCGGCGCACGGGUGAGUAACGCGUAUCCAACCUGCCCACCACUUGGGGAUAACCUUGCGAAAGUAAGACUAAUACCCAAUGAUAUCUCUAGAAGACAUCUGAAAGAGAUUAAAGAUUUAUCGGUGAUGGAUGGGGAUGCGUCUGAUUAGCUGGUUGGCGGGGUAACGGCCCACCAAGGCGACGAUCAGUAGGGGUUCUGAGAGGAAGGUCCCCCACAUUGGAACUGAGACACGUUCCAAACUCCUACUGGAGGCAGCAGUGAGGAAUAUUGGUCAAUGGACGAGAGUCUGAACCAGCCAAGUAGCGUGGAGGAUGACGGCCCUAUGGGUUGUAAACCGCUUUUAUAAGGGAAUAAAGUGAGCCUCGUGAGGCUUUUUGCAUGUACCUUAUGAAUAAGGACCGGCUAAUUCCGUGCCAGCAGCCGCCGUAA
rnacentral:rRNA from 1 species